rnacentral:lncRNA from 1 species
CCUGGACCUGGACCUGCACCUGGACCUGGGUUCCUGGGGGCGGGGCGGGGCGGGGCGGGGGCCUUUGUAGGUAGCUGCUGGGGCAGACGGAGAGCGGGGUGGGUGGGCUUCGGGGCGGCCCGGGGGGCGACCAGCCCGACACCUGCGCCGGCACGAAGGGGCUGUGGAGGGCGCGAGCAGCGGUCAGGGCCGGCUCCUUCCACGAGGCCCCGCGGUUACCCGGCCCGCGCAGGGCCACCCGGGGGCUCGCUCCUCUGCGGCACCGGCGCCUCGGCCUUAUCAGCGCGAGCGAGGCAGCCGGGGACCUCCCCCCCCGGCGGGGACCGACCCUGCAGGGCGCCCCCCGCGCCCCCCCCCGCGCUCCCCCCCCCCCCCCCCGAGCUUCACGGUUGCGGCCGCGCCCAGGCGGCGCCCAGGCCGCGGCAGGCGGGCGCGGAGGGGAAAGCCCGGCGAGGACGGCAGGCGGGGCGCGCGCCCAGGCCGUGCGUCACCCCGCGGCCGCCGCUGACUUAUUUUGGACGCGGCCGCUCGCGUGAGUCACGCCCAGGGCGCCCCGCAGGCCCGCGGGCCCUCGGCGCACACCUGCGCUCGCGGCAAACCCGACCGAGAGCCGCGGCCGCGAGACCCGGCCUCCCGCCGCGCGCCCCGCCCCUGCGGCUGCCCCGGGACCCGGCGCGGGAGCAGCGCGCCCCGCGGGGACCGACUCGGACGAACCGCGGACCCGCUCGCGGACACCCGGACGGCGCCCGCCGCCCUCGGCAGCGGGGCGCGAGGGGGCGCGAGGGGGCGCGGCGUGUGACGUGGGGGCGCGGCGUGCGGCGGGGGCGUGGCGUGCGGCGGGGGGCGUGGCGUGCGGCGAGGGGGCGUGGCAGGGCGCUGUGCGCGCGCGACGGAGCGGUGCGUGGCGCGAUGGGGCGUGGCGUUGCGGGUUGCGGGGCGCGGUGCGGCGCAGGGGCGGCUGCGGGGGCCGGCGGCGUCCUGGCCUGCGGGGUGAGGGCCGUGCGGGUGGAGCCGCCCGCCGUGGGGGCUUGGUCGUGGGAGGACGGGGGCGGUCGCGGUCGGCGGGGGAGAGACGAUGUGGGCGGGGCGGCGGCGGCGGAAGCAGGGGAGGACGGCGGGGGCGGGGGCGGGGGCGUCUCCGGGGAGUCAGGCCCUCCGAGGAGGCUUCCUCUGGGCGGAAAGACCAAGGAGACUCCGCGGGGGAUCCCCCCUCUUCACCCCGACCGGGGACCGGCUCGCGGUUGCACGGGCCCCGGCCCAAGGUGCGGUUGCUAUAGCAACCAGCCGGGGUGA